UUUUUUUUUUUUGAGAAAAAAGUAGCACGCUACCCGCUUUAUUCAUUCAGGAUAUGAACUUAGCUACAUGGGUGAAGCAACAAGGCCUCUAAAGAGAUGAAAAGCCGGAUAAAGAUGAAAAAAAAAUAAAAAUAAAAAUAAAAAUAAAAAUAAAAAUAAAAAAUCAGUGUCUCUCCAUAAGGUGAAGUUUCCCCCACAGGAACGUCGGCUGUUUAACCUUAUAGCAACCAUAGAUUGGAUCAGUCUGAUUCCUCCUAAAGAUCACACCAUUCUUGGUCUCCCAAAUAACCCACCAGCAGGCAAUUAGUCCAGGUAAACCAUCGCUCAUGGACUGAGACCCAAUCCUUUCGCUCCGUCUGUCCCAAACCAUAUGCACAUCUUCGGCCAAAUCUUUUGCUUGGACAUCCUCCAAUGACAUCACCAUAAGAAAUUUGAAGAAUGCACAUUGAGAAAAAAUGUGGUCUACUGUUUCCAUAUCAGACCCACACAGCACACAGUUCGUGUUGCCUAUCCAUCAUCUUUUUAAUAAAUUAUCUACAGUAAGAGAUCUCUUCUUGAGGAC
rnacentral:lncRNA from 1 species